rnacentral:rRNA from 1 species
GACGAACGCUUGCGACGUGCCUAAGAAAUGCAAGUCGAACGGAUCAGCAGCAAUGCUGGUUAGUGGCGAACGGUCGCGUAACACGUGGGCAACCUGCCCUGAAGCGGGGGACAACAGCUUGAAAGAGCUGCUAAUACCGCAUGUGAAUCGUGGUGGCAUCACCGAGGAUUCAAAGCCGCAAGGCACUUCAGGAUGGGCCCGCGGCCUAUCAGCUAGUUGGUGAGGUAACGGCCCACCAAGGCUUCGACGGGUAGCUGGUCUGAGAGGACGAUCAGCC